GGUUCGGCAUUCUUCUCGUCUCCGGAACACACGUCUGCAGCCAGCUCCCUGGUUGUCCGAAUCACCGACCUCUCUCCCCAGCCGUAUUUCCAAAAUGUCGCUUUGUAACAAACUGACGCUGGACAAGCUGGACGUUAAAGGGAAGCGGGUCGUUAUGAGAGUCGACUUCAAAGUUCCUAUGAAGAACAACCAGAUAACAAACAACCAGAGGAUUAAGGCUGCUGUCCCAAGCAUCAAAUUCUGCUUGGACAAUGGAGCCAAGUCGGUAGUCCUUAUGAGUCACCUAGGCCAGCCUGAUGGUGUCCCUAUGCCUGACAAGUACUCCUUAGAGCCAGUUGCUGUAGAACUCAAAUCUCUGCUGGGCAAGGAUGCUCUGUUCUUGAAGGACUGUGUAGGCCCAGAAGUGGAGAAAGCCUGUGCCAACCCAGCUGCUGAGUCUGUCAUCCUGCUGGAGAACCUCUGCUUUCAUGUGGAGGAAGAAGGGAAGGGAAAAGAUGCUUCUGGGAACAAGGUUAAAGCCAAGCCAGUCAAAAUAGAACCUUUCUGACUUCACUUUCCAAGCUAGGGGAUGUCUACGUCAAUGAUGCUUUUGGCACUGCUCACAGAGCCCACAGCUCCCUGGUAGGAGUCGAUCUGCCACAGAAGGCUGCUGGAUGAAGAAGGAGCUGAACUACUUUGCCAAGGCCUUGGAGAGCCCAGAGCAACCCUUCCUGGUCAUCCUGGGCGGAACUAAAGUUGCAGACAAGAUCCAGCUGAUCAAUAAUAUACUGGACAAAGUCAAUGAGAUGAUUAUUGGUAGUGGAAUGGCUUUUACCUUCCUUAAGGUGCUCAGCAACAUGGAGAUUGGCACUUCUCUGUUCAAUGAAGAGGGAGCCAAGACUGUCAAAGACCUAAUGUCCAAAGCUGAGAAGAAUGGUGUGAAGAUUACCUUGCCUGUUGACUUUGUCACUGCUGACAAGUUUGAUGAGAAUGCCAAGACUGGCCAAGCCACUGUGGCUUCUGGCGUACCUGCUGGCUGGAUGGGGUUGGACUGUGGUCCUGAAAGCAGCAAGAAGUAUGCUGAGGCUGUGACUCGGGCUAAGCAGAUUGUGUAGAAUGGUCCUGUGGGGGUAUUUGAAUGGGAAGCUUUUGCCCGGGGAACCAAAGCCCCCAUGGAUGAGGUGGUGAAAGCCACUUCUAGGGGCUGCACCACCAUCAUAGGUGGUGGAGACACUGCCACUUGCUGUGCCAAAUGGAACAUGGAGGCUAAAGUUAGCCAUGUGAGCACUGGAGGUGGUGCCAGUUUGGAGCUCCUGGAAGGUAAAGUCCUUGCUGGGGUGGACGCUCUCAGCAAUAUUUAGUACUUUCCUACCUUUUAGUUCCUGUGCACAGCCCCUAAGUCAACUUAGCACUUUCUGCAACUCCACUUGGCAUUAGCUAAAACCUUCCGUGUCAAGGUUCAGCUAGUGGCCAAGAGAUGCAGUGCCAGGAACCCUUAAACAGUUGCGUGGCAUCUCAGCUCAUCUUUACUACACCCUGGAUUUGCCUACAUUCUUGAAGAUCCCAUUUGAAUUUCUUAGUGACUAAACAUUGUGCAUUCUAGAGUGCAUAUAUUUCUAUUUUGCCUGUUAAAACAAGUGAGCUAUGUUAGUUCUCUUUUGAUGUAGGCUAUUAUGAUUAGCUUUGUCACUGUUUCACUACUCAGCAUGGAAAUAAGAUGAAAUUCCAUUUGUAGGUAGGGAGACAAAAUUGAUGAUCCAUUAAAUAAACAAUGAAAGUGUCCACUGAAAAAAAAAGUGGUUUCUAUGUUAUAAUGCUAGUUUUAAGUGCAGUUUGUGGUGGAAAAUUGAUGAAUAAAAUGGUGCAAAAGAAGAGCAUACCUGCGUGCACCUGUGGCCCCAGCUACUCAGGAGGGUCACUUGAGCCCAUGAGGCCAAGGCUACAGUGAGCAAUGUUCCCACCCACUCACUCCAGCCUGGGCAGUAGAGGAAGACCCUUUCUCAAAAAAAAAAAAAAAGAACUUAUUUUCCAAAGAAUAACUGCCUUGAGCCCUUGAGGUCUUUCUCUUUCUCCAGUGACUAUUUUCUACGUUCUAAUCUCCUCAUUCUUUUUCAGUGAAGAUAGUAAAUCUUCAUGGCACUUAAUUUUCUGUGUAAGCUGUAUUUAUUACUUUGAAUUGUUGUUCUUAAUUAUAUAAACUUAUUUUCUUUGUUCAAUUGAUAUAGUUUUCUAUCCAUUGGAAACUGAGUAUUUUGGAUCGGAUGAAAUGAAUCAUAAUUUGGUCCAUCAAAAUUAAUGGAAAAAUGUCAUAUAAUGGUUUUUCAUUUAGCAGGAAAAUGUUUAGAAAUGAAGUGAAAUUAUGGGGAAGCAUAUUAAAUAUAUAUGGAAGCUAAAGCAACUCCAUUUUGGAUGGUAGGCUAAAGCAGCUCCACCUUAGAAGCUAAUCUGCCAUGCUGGCUUCACUGAUUAAUUCCAUAUCUGGAAGGCCUCUAAGAUUUCCAUUUAUCUGUUGUUCCUUGUGUAAGAAAAGGUACUUAACUUUAAAUCCUGGCCUCAGGUCAAACAACCUUGAUGUUAUCACACUUCAACUGGCCUACAAAUUCCAUCUGAGCCACUAACUUCACUAUGGUAUGUAAGCCCUGGAUCAGAGAGGUAAUGGUGCCAGGAUCUGCCAUCUUGUCUUGCCACCACCCAAGACACAGGCAUGGCUUCUGUUCCUUAAGUCCCUAUUAAACGUUUGUUUCUAAGAAA